UUGAAAGGGAAACGAUUGAAGUCAGUCGUACCAGCGGGAAUCAACCUUUCGAGUGGGGNNUUUGGAGUUUUGAAGAGUUUCAAAACCUUUGAGAUUUCAAAAAUUUCGCUCUUUUGGUGUACUUUCUCGUGGGUAGGUUAACAUCGAUUUCGAUCAUCAUAAAAGGAUUGGAGGAAUGUAGCUUCGAUCUUGUAUUGAAGUGUUAUAGCCUUUGGUAAAUGUGAUGAUUGGGAUCGAGGAUUGCAACGAAUACCCUUUUGGGCUAUCCGCCUGAUCUCUGAUACGUGGCCUUGGCAUCGAAAGCUUGCUUAUGGUAUCAAGGUAUUACGGUCAAAAGGUUAGAACGGAUUACAUUCGUUAAGGAUGUUGACGUA
rnacentral:rRNA from 1 species